UUCGCAAUGCCCGAAAGGGUGAACGAGCGACGCCGCGUGCGGGAUGAAGGCCUUCGGGUUGUAAACCGCUUUUCUUAAGGAAGAACUUAAUGACGGUACUUAAGGAAUAAGAGGUUACUAACUCUGUGCCAGCAGUAGCGGUAAUACAGAGACCUCAAGCGUUAUCCGGAUUUAUUGGGCGUAAAGCGCGGGUAGGCGGGAAUAUUAGUCAGAUGUCAAAUCUUCGAGCUCAACUCGAAAACUGCAUUUGAAACGGUAUUCCUAGAGAGUGUGAGGGACCAGUGGAACUCAUGGUGUAGCAGUGAAAUGCGUUGAUAUCAUGGGGAACACCAAAGGCGAAGGCAUCUGGUUGGCACACUUCUGACGCUGAGCCGCGAAAGCGUGGGUAGCGAAUGGGAUUAGAUACCCCAGUAGUCCACGCCCUAAACGAUGGGCACUAAGUAGAGGGGUUUU
rnacentral:rRNA from 1 species